UCCGGCUUUCACCGGCUGUCUCGUUAGAGUGCCCAACUGAAUGCUGGCAACUAACGAUAAGGGUUGCGCUCGUUGCGGGACUGAACCCAACAUCUCACGACACGAGCUGACGACAACCAUGCACCACCUGUCACCGCUGCUCCGAAGAGAGCCUCUAUCUCUAGAGGGGUCAGCGGGAUGUCAAGCCUUGGUAAGGUUCUUCGCGUUGCUUCGAAUUAAACCACAUGCUCCACCGCUUGUGCGGGCCCCCGUCAAUUCCUUUGAGUUUCAGCCUUGCGGCCGUACUCCCCAGGCGGAGUGCUUAAUGGGUUACCUACGGCACCGAGGACGGGAAGUCCCCGACACCUAGCACUCAUCGUUUACGGCGUGGACUAC
rnacentral:misc_RNA from 1 species